GGCUGGUCCGAAGGUAGUGAGUCAUCUCACUUGAUUAUUCACAGUCAGUUACAUAUUGAACUAUUCAUUCUACUCUUUCUCCCCUUCUCACUAGUGCACUUGACUAGUAAAA
rnacentral:Y_RNA from 1 species